rnacentral:rRNA from 1 species
UUACGGUCAAAUCACGCUGAAACACCGGUUCUCGUACGAUCACCGAAGUUAAGCAGCGGAGAGCCAGGUCAGUACUUAGAUGGGGGACCGCUUGGGACACCUGGUACUGUAAG